rnacentral:rRNA from 1 species
AUACGUAGGGGGCGAGCGUUGUCCGGAAUUACUGGGCGUAAAGGGUGCGUAGGUGGCACUUUAAGUUGGAUGUGAAAUCCCCGUGCUUAACAUGGGAGCUGCAUCCAAUACUGGAGAGCUAGAGUGCAGGAGAGGUACGCGGAAUUCCUAGUGUAGCGGUGAAAUGCGUAGAUAUUAGGAGGAACACCAGUGGCGAAGGCGGCUUACUGGACUGUAACUGACACUGAGGCACGAAAGCGUGGGGAGCAAACAGGAUUAGAUACCCUGGUAGUCCACGCUGUAAACGAUGAAUACUAGGUGUAGGGGGUAUCAACUCCCUCUGUGCCGCAGCAAACGCAAUAAGUAUUCCGCCUGGGGAGUACGGCCGCAAGGUUGAAACUCAAAUGAAUUGACGGGG